rnacentral:tRNA from 1 species
GGGGAUGUAGCUCAGAGGUAAAGUGUGUGCUCAGCAGGCAUAAGAUUCUGGGUUCAAUCUCCAGUCCCCU